rnacentral:rRNA from 1 species
AGAGUUUGAUCAUGGCUCAGAACGAACGCUGGCGGAAUGCUUUACACAUGCAAGUCGAACGAGUACUUUUUACGAGUGGCGAACGGGUGAGUAACGCGUGGGAACCUACCUUGAGGUAAAGAAUAACUACAGGAAACUGUAGCUAAUACUUUAUGUGCCCUACGGGGGAAAGAUUUAUCGCCUUUUGAGGGGCCCGCGUCAGAUUAGCUUGUUGGUGAGGUAAUGGCUUACCAAGGCUAUGAUCUGUAGCUGGUUUGAGAGGAUGAUCAGCCACAUUGGGACUGAGACACGGCCCUGACUCCUACGGGAGGCAGCAGUGGGGAAUCUUGGACAAUGGGGGAAACCCUGAUCCAGCAAUUCCGCGUGAACGAUGAAGGCCUUAGGGUUGUAAAGUUCUUUUAGUAAGGAAGAUGAUGACGGUACUUACAGAAAAAGCUCCGGCUAACUCCGUGCCAGCAGCCGCGGUAAUACGGAGGGGGCAAGCGUUGUUCGGAAUUACUGGGCGUAAAGAGCGAGCAGGUGGUUCAUUAAGUCAAUUGUGAAAGCUCAAGGCUUAACCUUGAAAUUGCUUUUGAUACUGAUGAACUAGAGUUUGGGAGAGGAUAGUGGAAUUCUAAGUGUAGAAGUGAAAUUCGUAGAUAUUUAGAGGAACACCGAUAGCGAAGGCAACUAUCUGGCCCUUUACUGACACUCAGAAGCGAAAGCUUGGGUAGCAAACAGGAUUAGAUACCCUGGUAGUCCAUGCUGUAAACGAUGAGUGCUAGAUGUUAGAAGUUUACUUCUAGUAUCGAAGCUAACGCGUUAAGCACUCCGCCUGGGGAGUACGGCCGCAAGGCUA